rnacentral:tRNA from 1 species
GCCGGGGUGGCGGAACUGGUAGACGCAGUGGACUUAAAAUCCACUGGGCCGACAGGCCCGUCCGGGUUCGAGUCCCGGCCUCGGCA